UACGUAGGGGGCAAGCGUUAUCCGGAUUUACUGGGCGUAAAGCGUGUUCAGGCGGCUCAGCAAGUCGGGCAUGAAAUCUCUCGGCUCAACCGGGAGAGGCUGUCCGAUACUGCUGGGCUUGAGGGCAGUAGAGGGUGGUGGAAUUCCGGGUGUAGUGGUGAAAUGCGUAGAUAUCCGGAGGAACACCAGUGGCGAAAGCGGCCACCUGGACUGUACCUGACGCUCAAACACGAAAGCUAGGGGAGCGAACGGG
rnacentral:rRNA from 1 species